rnacentral:rRNA from 1 species
AACGUAGGAGGCGAGCGUUAUCCGGAUUUACUGGGCGUAAAGCGCGUGCAGGCGGUUCGGCGAGUUGGAUGUGAAAGCUCCUGGCUUAACUGGGAGAGGUCGUUCAAUACUGCCGGACUCGAGAGUGGUAGAGGGAGGUGGAAUUCCGCAUGUAGUGGUGAAAUGCGUAGAUAUGCGGAGGAACACCAGUGGCGAAAGCGGCCUCCUGGCCCAUUUCUGACGCUCAGACGCGAAAGCUAGGGUAGCAAACGGG